rnacentral:rRNA from 1 species
GUGAGGAAUUUUCCGCAAUGGGCGAAAGCCUGACGCAGCCAUGCCGCGUGAAUGAUGAAGGUCUUAGGAUUGUAAAAUUCUUUCACCGGGGACGAUAAUGACGGUACCCGGAGAAGAAGCUCCGGCUAACUUCGUGCCAGCAGCCGCGGUAAUACGAAGGGGGCUAGCGUUGCUCGGAAUUACUGGGCGUAAAGGGCGCGUAGGCGGACAGCUUAGUCAGAGGUGAAAGCCCAGGGCUCAACCUUGGAAUUGCCUUUGAUACUGGCUGUCUUGAGUUUGGGAGAGGUGAGUGGAACUCCGAGUGUAGAGGUGAAAUUCGUAGAUAUUCGGAAGAACACCAGUGGCGAAGGCGACUCACUGGCCCAAUACUGACGCUGAGGCGCGAAAGCGUGGGGAGCAAACAGGAUUAGAAACCCCUGUAGUCC